UUUACUCUACCGGAGGCAGCAGUGGGGAAUAUUGCACAAUGGGCGGAAGCCUGAUGCAGCGACGCCGCGUGAGGGAUGACGGCCUUCGGGUUGUAAACCUCUUUCAGUAGGGAAGAAGCGUAAGUGACGGUACCUGCAGAAGAAGCGCCGGCUAACUACGUGCCAGCAGCCGCGGUAAUACGUAGGGCGCAAGCGUUAUCCGGAAUUAUUGGGCGUAAAGAGCUCGUAGGCGGUUUGUCGCGUCUGCCGUGAAAGUCCGGGGCUCAACUCCGGAUCUGCGGUGGGUACGGGCAGACUAGAGUGAUGUAGGGGAGACUGGAAUUCCUGGUGUAGCGGUGAAAUGCGCAGAUAUCAGGAGGAACACCGAUGGCGAAGGCAGGUCUCUGGGCAUUAACUGACGCUGAGGAGCGAAAGCAUGGGGAGCGAACAGGAUUAGAUACCCUGGUAGUCCAUGCCGUAAACGUUGGGCACUAGGUGUGGGGGACAUUCCACGUUUUCCGCGCCGUAGCUAACGCAUUAAGUGCCCCGCCUGGGGAGUACGGCCGCAAGGCUAAAACUCAAAGGAAUUGACGGGGGCCCGCACAAGCGGCGGAGCAUGCGGAUUAAUUCGAUGCAACGCGAAGAACCUUACCAAGGCUUGACAUGAACCGGUAAGACCUGAAACAGGUCCCCCACCC
rnacentral:rRNA from 1 species